rnacentral:misc_RNA from 1 species
AGUCGUAACAAGGUUUCCGUAGGUGAACCUGCGGAAGGAUCAUUAGCAAAUCAUCAGGGAUGUCUCCCCGUAGGGGAGGCAUCAUCUGUUCCGGGGAGAAAGUCUGUAUGGCUCUCUCUCUGUGAUUCCGGGGGGAAGGUCUGACUUUCUCCCUGUGUCCAAGUGCUCCACGGAAAUGUAAAUCUCAACACCAAAACAAAAACAUAAAACAACUUUUAACAAUGGAUCUCUGGGCUCCU